GUGUUUGUGAGACACAGUCUCAGGCUGGCCUCGAGCUCAUGGAAAUCCUCCUGCCUCAGCCUCCCAAAUGCUGGAUUACAGUUCCUGGCACAAACUCCCAAACCCUUGGAAUUUCCUGUGUGACAGUCUUUGGAUGUUCACGAUAAGCCUCUGUCAACUGGACCUGAGACUGAGUUAAUGAGGUGACUCACAGUGGCCCCUGGGAAGUUCACCGUGAUGGCCAUUUGCUAGAGGAACCAAGCACUCAAUGAGAGGAUUGAUCUCCAACAACCAUAGAUACAAUCAGUCAGGCCUAUGCAAGGGAACCUCCACAAAAACAACCGCGCAUGGUGGUAUACACCUGAAAUCUCAAUUACUCAAAGGCUGAGGCAGGAGGGUUGCAAAUUAGAACCCAUCUUGGGCAACUUAAUGACUUAGCAAAACCUUAUUUCAAAUAAAAUAUUUUAAAAA